AGUGAACGCUGGCGGUAGGCCUAACACAUGCAAGUCGAACGGCAGCACAGUAAGAGCUUGCUCUUACGGGUGGCGAGUGGCGGACGGGUGAGGAAUACAUCGGAAUCUACUUUUUCGUGGGGGAUAACGUAGGGAAACUUACGCUAAUACCGCAUACGACCUACGGGUGAAAGCAGGGGAUCUUCGGACCUUGCGCGACUGAAUGAGCCGAUGUCGGAUUAGCUAGUUGGCGGGGUAAAGGCCCACCAAGGCGACGAUCCGUAGCUGGUCUGAGAGGAUGAUCAGCCACACUGGAACUGAGACACGGUCCAGACUCCUACGGGAGGCAGCAGUGGGGAAUAUUGGACAAUGGGCGCAAGCCUGAUCCAGCCAUACCGCGUGAGUGAAGAAGGCCUUCGGGUUGUAAAGCCCUUUUGUUGGGAAAGAAAAGCAGCAGGUUAAUACCCCGCUGUUCUGACGGUACCCAAAGAAUAAGCACCGGCUAACUUCGUG
rnacentral:rRNA from 1 species